GCCGCGCGGCACGUUCAGCCCCUGCUGGAACACCUGCGCCAUGCGAGAGCGUUCCUCGGGAUCGGCAAGUUUCGAAUCGCUCGGAUCGACAUUGCCGGGAAGGCUGUUCUCCUUCAGCAACCAGUGCGCCUGAUCCUCAUAGGCCGGCAGCACAUUGUCUGCAUCGACGCCGAGCUUUUCGGCAAUGCCCGCGGCGAAUUUUUCCGCCUGCUCGAUCUUCGCGGAGCGUGGCCCUUCCAUUGGCGCGAUCAAAUCGGGAUUGCGCCAGAUCGGCACGCCAUCCUUGCGCCAGUACAGACCAAAA
rnacentral:misc_RNA from 1 species